rnacentral:rRNA from 1 species
GACAGAGCCUCAAGCGUUAGGCGGAAUCACUGGGCUUAAAGCGUGUGUAGGCGGAUCGUUAAGUGUCUUGUGAAAUCCCACGGCUCACCCGUGGAACUGCUGGGCAUACUGGCGAUCUUGGGCCAACUAGGGGCAGCCGGAACAAGCGGUGGAGCGGUGAAAUGCGUAGAUAUCAGGAGGAACACCAAUUGCGAAGGCAGCUCGCUGGGACGUUACUGACGCUGAGAUGCGAAAGCGUGGGGAGCAAACAGG